GACGAACGCUGGCGGCGUGCUUAACACAUGCAAGUCGAACGGGAAGGCCCUGCUUUCGCGGUGUCCUCGGGUGGCGAACGGGGGAGUAACACGUGAGUAACCUGCCCUUGACUUUGGGAUAACUUCAGGAAAAUGGGGCUAAUACCGGAUAGGAGCUCCUGCUGCAUGGUGGGGGGUGGACAGCUUCGGCGGGUGGGGAGGGACGCGCGGCUUAUCAGGUUGUUGGUGGGGGAGUGGCUGACCACGGCUUGGACGGGUAGCCGGCCUGGGAGGGUGACCGGGCACAUUGGGACUGAGAUAGGGACCCGACUCCUACGGGAGGCAGAAGUGGGAGAGGUGAAACUAGGGGCGGAAGCCUGAGGCAGCAACGCCGCGUGCGGGAUGACGGCGUACGGGUUGUAAACCGAAUGCGCCUGUGACGAGGCGGGAGGGACGGUAACGGGUAGAGAAGCACCGGCUAAAUACGGG
rnacentral:rRNA from 1 species